ensembl:lncRNA
CUUUGUAUAGUUGAUUUAAUGGUCUCCAGAAUGAUGUGCUCAUGUUGGUGUUUAAUGGCUGUUUUUAAGUGGUGAAACACGAUACACAUUUCCACUAUGGGUGGACAAUAAAGUGUUUGUCAUUCUACUUCACAUCACAUGAGUGUGUUCAAACAAUAAACCAGUUACCCAUGGUCUUGGAGAGACUGUCCUGUCAUCUAACAGUAAACCAUUGUCUUGGAGAGACUGUCCUAUCAUCUAACAGUAAACCAUUGUCUUGGAGAGACUGUCCUGUCAUCUAACAGUAAACCAUUGUCUUGGAGAGACUGUCCUGUCAUCUAACAAUAAACCAUUGUCUUGGAGAGACUGUCAUACACAUUUCCACUAUGGGUGGACAAUAAAGUGUUUGUCAUUCUAAAGUAAUCAUACAGAGUUUUGAAUAUGAGACUAGUGGAUUCGGUUGUACAGUGUUGGUGCUGGGUUGAAAGUGGUUUGUACCUUUCACCCUACCUACUUUCAGAAUACAUUUGCCAGUAUAGGCCUACUUCAUGGAAUGUUCCAGACUGAGCAACCAAGUCAACAGUAGAAAUGAGUCAUGACCUCUUGAGACACAGCCUGGGAAACACCCUAAUUACCAACUUAAAGUACGGAGUAGAGUAGGGAAUGAGAGUAGGGAAUGAAAAAAUAAAAGAGAGAGAGAGAGAGAGAAAGGUAGAGGAAGAAAGGUAGAGGGAGAGCAUACCAUGGACAGAGUGGUGGACAGAGUGGUGGACAGAGUGGUGGACAGAAAGUGACCGAAGCAGUGAAGAGGAGCAUCCAAGAGACAUACAGGGAGCAGGAAGCUACAUAGCUACAUAGCUACAUAGCUACAGAGGACAUAAGAGACAUACAGGGAGCAGGAAGCUACAUAGCUACAUAGCUACAGAGGACAUAAGAGACAUACAGGGAGCAGGAAGCUACAUAGCUACAGAGGACAUAAGAGACAUACAGGGAGCAGGAAGCUACAUAGCUACAGAGGACAUAAGAGACAUACAGGGAGCAGAAUGCUACAUAGCUACAGAGGACAUAAGAGACAUACAGGGAGCAGGAAGCUACAUAGCUACAGAGGACAUAAGAGACAUACAGGGAGCAGGAAGCUACAUAGCUACAGAGGACAUAAGAGACAUACAGGGAGCAGGAAGCUACAUAGCUACAGUGGACAUAAGAGACAUACAGGGAUCAGGAAGAUACAUAGCUACAGAGGACAUAAGAGACAUACAGGGAGCAGGAAUCUACAUAGCUACAGUGGACAUAAGAGACAUACAGGGAGCAGGAAUCUAUAUAGCUACAGAGGCCAUAAGAGACAUACAGGGAGCAGGAAGCUACAUAGCUACAUAGCUACAUAGCUACAGAGGACAUAAGAGACAUACAGGGAGCAGGAAGCUACAUAGCUACAGAGGACAUAAGAGACAUACAGGGAUCAGGAAGAUACAUAGCUACAGAGGACAUAAGAGACAUACAGGGAGCAGGAAGCUACAUAGCUACAUAGGAAAAUAAUAGCAAUAUUACUCACAUGGCUACAGAAGGCAGAGAGUACACAGGAGAAACGCAAAGGAGAGAGGAGUGAAACUGGUUUGUGUGUGAUGUAGGAUGUAGUGUGCAUGCAGCCCUGAGACAUGGCUGGUGACUCCUGUGUGGUCAUGUUUCAGGGCUACGGGGAUAUGGUUGAUGUAUCUGGAUGCGGUCAUGUCACGACUUCCGCUGAAGUUGUUCCCUCUCCUUGUUCGGGCGGCGUUCGGUGGUCGUCGUCACCAGCUGCCACCGAUCCAUGUUUCUGUUUUCCAUUCGUUAUGUCUUGAUUGUUCACACCUGGUUCCCAUUACGUUAUUAUUAUUUCCCUAUUUAACCCUCUGGUUCCCGUUAUGUGUUGUGUGUGAUUGUUCCUGGUUUUGUGUUAGUCUUUUGUGUUAGGGUUUGUUAUCCCUGCGUGGAUUUAUUGGCUGAUAAAUGUUUCAGAGUAAAGUCCGUUAUUUGACUCAGUUCUGUGUCCUGCGCCUGACUCCGUCCUCACCUUUGCAGGACUGACACUCGACAG